rnacentral:tRNA from 1 species
AAGGGUAUAGCUCAGUGGUAGAGUGUAUGCUUAGCAUGCACAAGGUCCUGGGUUCAAUCCCCACUACCUCCA